rnacentral:rRNA from 1 species
GACGAACGCUGGCGGCGUGCCUAAUACAUSCAAGUCGAGCGGUUGAAGCCUUCGGGUGGAGAUAGCGGCGGACGGGUGAGUAACACGUAGGUAACCUGCCUAACAGACUGGGAUAACUACCGGAAACGGUAGCUAAGACCGGAUACGUCAAUAUGAGGGCAUCCUCGAAUUGAGAAAAGCGGAGCAAUCUGCUGCUGAUAGAUGGACCUGCGGCGCAUUAGACUAGUUGGUGAGGUAGAGGCUCACCAAGGCGACGAUGCGUAGCCGACCUGAGAGGGUGAACGGCCACACUGGGACUGAGACACGGCCCAGACUCCUACGGGAGGCAGCAGUAGGGAAUCUUCGGCAAUGGACGAAAGUCUGACCGAGCAACGCCGCGUGAGUGAUGAAGGUUUUCGGAUCGUAAAACUCUGUUGCCAGGGAAGAAU